rnacentral:rRNA from 1 species
GACGAACGCUGGCGGCGUGCUUAACACAUGCAAGUCGAACGGAAAGGCCCUGCUUUUGUGGGGUGCUCGAGUGGCGAACGGGUGAGUAACACGUGAGUAACCUGCCCUUGACUUUGGGAUAACUUCAGGAAACUGGGGCUAAUACCGGAUAGGAGCUCCUGCUGCAUGGUGGGGGUUGGAAAGUUUCGGCGGUUGGGGAUGAACUCGCGGCUUAUCAGCUUGUUGGUGGGGUAGUGGCUUACCAAGGCUUUGACGGGUAGCCGGCCUGAGAGGGUGACCGGCCUCAUUGGGACUGAGAUACGGCCCAGACUCCUACGGGAGGCAGCAGUGGGGAAUAUUGCACAAUGGGCGGAAGCCUGAUGCAGCAACGCCGCGUGCGGGAUGACGGCCUUCGGGUUGUAAACCGCUUUCGCCUGUGACGAAGCGUGAGUGACGGUAAUGGGUAAAGAAGCACCGGCUAACUACGUG